UACUCAACUUGAUGUCAGUGACGAUUAC
rnacentral:sRNA from 1 species